UGGCUCUAAUCCUUCAACUCUUGUGUGGUCCAUGUCCUUUGCUGUGUAAAUUUGCAUUUGCCUUCAUCCCCACGGAUGCAGUAUAUUUUCUCUGCCUUGAGACAUUGUGUUUGCUGAAGGGAAUACAGCAAAAGCAACAGAGUGUCAGUUCGGAGCCUAGCUCUUCAGUGAUUCUGCUUCUCUUGUGCCUCUGCCACUGUCGUGGAAGAACAUGCCUAGCCUCGUCUGCUGGUAGAAGGAAGAGGAUGAGGAACACAUGGAGCAGACACAUUCAAGCUGAACCCAGCCUAGAUCAUUUGGGCCCUGGCCAACCCACAGAUGUGCAAUUUAAAUAAAUGCCUACUGUUGUAUGCCACUGAGAUUUUAUGGUUGCUGUUUAACAGCAUUAUUGUAGCAAUAUCUAACCAAUACAUGCAAAGUAAAUUUAAGAAAAGGCAAAACAUGUAAAGAAGAGUCUUCAAACAACAAACAAACCAAUCAGAAAUUCACACAUCAUCACUCUAGGUUGGGAUAAUAUUGAGCAGAGGUGGUGAAACAACAGACAUCCAUUUUUUACUUCUGAUUACAAAGGAGAUAUUUCUAUUUUGUCUUAUUCUUGAUUAUUAAGAAAAUGCCUUUAUAAAGGAAUUGUUCACUGUGGGGUAAGAUGUUUUCUGCAGGCUUUUUAGUAGUUAUUAUUUAUCAGAUUAUUUCUGUGCCAAAUGUGCUAAGAGGUUUUAGUGAGAAUAAAU